GGAUGAAGAACGUAGCGAAAUGCGAUAAGUAAUGUGAAUUGCAGAAUUCAGUGAAUCAUCGAAUCUUUGAACGCACAUUGCGCCCGCCAGUAUUCUGGCGGGCAUGCCUGUUCGAGCGUCAUUACAACCCUCAGGCCCCCGGGCCUGGCGUUGGGGAUCGGCGGAAAGCCCCCUGUGGGCAUACGCCGUCCCCUAAAUACAGUGGCGGUCCCGCCGCAGCUUCCAUUGCGUAGUAGCUAACACCUCGCAACUGGAGAGCGGCGCGGCCAAGCCGUAAAACACCCAACUUCUGAAUGUUGACCUCGAAUCAGGUAGGAAUACCCGCUGAACUUAAGCAUAUCAAUAAGCGGAGGA
rnacentral:misc_RNA from 1 species